GGCCACCUGCAUUCUCGCGAUAUCUCAUGCAAUCGCGUGUUUUCAGCACUUGUCUGUGCGCGCGCGCUCCACAACUCCGACGGUUAAAACUUCAACUUCAAACCUCAACAGCUCUGCCCUGCUCCACUCGAUAGACGCAGAAUUAAAACGAGUCACAAGGAUGCCUCUACAAGUCAAGGUUUUUAUCACAGCCUGACAUACACUCUGAAAGUUUGCUGAAGGUGUUUGGGAAGCGUCCAGGGCAGCAGGGCAAAAAGCUAAAGGAAAUGGCUUCCAUGAUGACGGAUGACAUCGAUGCUGGCAGGGAGGCCAUCAUAUAAGGACUCAGCAUUUACCUCAAUGAAGAUCCUAAUGAUCUGGUGCAAGAGUACAUGGACCUGACUGAUGCCAACACACUGGGCGCCAUAGAUGGAACAACGGUGGGAAUCUAUGUUUCCAGAGAGACUCCAAACAGUGACUCUUCUGAUGUGGGUAUAAUCAUCGAGGGCGUCGUGGCACUUCAUGGUCUGGAGACUGUUGCCCUUGCAUCAAACCUGCUGUUUGGACUUUUUACUCCUUAAACAUGAAGCACCCUCCAAAGCUUCGCUACACAUUUGAAGUAAUACAGAAGGUAAUUAUGGAACUCAAUGCAACUGAUCUAUCAAGAAAGGCCCAAACCCUGAAAAUGCAUCAGUAAGGAGAGCUUACAACUCCUGGAAAAGCAACAUGACUUACAGCUCCACGUUCCUGAUGUGGCUGGCCCUUUUCAGAAAAGUUCUUAAAUGGUUUUAUGUAUUUUUUACACUGUUUAUGUUUCUGCCUUUUCACUGUGUAACUCUGAACAUUUUCGUCCCUUAUGACGCAGAUGAUAUGACUGCAUACUAGAAAUACAAGGCAGUUUGGUGGGAGUUGGUUCCACCCUGUAGAAUCAAUAGUAUCUGCUGUGUUGUGCGAUUUCUCGUUGAAAAUAUGUUGUGCCCUUUUAAAUUUGCACAUUAAAAGUUGGGACACCAUUCGUUCUUCCAGGUAUUAGAGUUAAGGGAUUAAAUGAUGAAUAAUUUUCUGACUGUCAUGUGAUUUACAGUUCUGUGUUCGUGGACUGUGUUGUGGCUGACCCUCAGGAAUGUUCUUAUCUUCUAGAGAAGGUUCUUAUGUAUGUUUGCACUGUUUAUGUAGUACACUGCUUUUAUACUGUGUGUAACUGAAAAAGUUGGAAGUACGAGUCAAUCUUUGAGGCAGAUGAUAUGGCUGCAAGAUAGAAAUGAAAGGCAGUUUGGUGAGAAUUUGUGUCACCUGGUUGAAUCUGUAUCUGCUGUGCAUUUUCUUAUUGGAGUUAUUUGACAAAUGUAUGUGCACUUUUGUGACUUCCACGUUGUGGAAUUAAAGUUUAGACUCAUUUUCAAA